GACGUAGGGCGCGAGCGUUGUCCGGAUUUAUUGGGCGUAAAGAGCUCGUAGGCGGUUUGUCGCGUCGACUGUGAAAACUGGGGGCUUAACUCUCAGCUUGCAGUUGAUACGGGCAGACUUGAGUUCGGUAGGGGAGAUCGGAAUUCCUGGUGUAGCGGUGAAAUGCGUAGAUAUCAGGAGGAACACCGGUGGCGAAGGCGGAUCUCUGGACCAGUUCUGACACUGAUGAGCGAAAGCCAGGGGAGCAAACAGG
rnacentral:rRNA from 1 species